rnacentral:rRNA from 1 species
GAUAAACGCUGGCGGCGUGCAUAACACAUGCAAGUCGAACGAAGUGGCGAACGGGUGAGUAACACGGGAGUAACCUGCCUUACACAAGGGGAUAGCCUUUGGAAACGAAGAAUAAUACCCUAUAGUGUAAGAUGGACUGGCGUCUGAUUCGCUAGUUGGUGAGAUAAAGGCCCACCAAGGCAACGAUCAGUAGCCGGCUGGGGAUGGUGUACGGCCACGUGGGGGCUGAGAGACGGCCCAAACUAUACGGGGGGCAGCAGUGGGGAAUUAUGGACAAAGGGGGAAACCCUGAUGAAGCGACGCCGCGUGAUUUGGAAGGCCUUCGGGUUGUAAUGCGCUUUCAGCCAUGACGCGGUAGUGGCAGAAGAAGCACCGGCUAACUACGUGCCAGCAGCCGCGGUAAUAC